rnacentral:rRNA from 1 species
AUAUGACGAUGGACAUUGCAAAGAGUGGCGAACGGGUGAGUAACACGUGGGAAACCUACCUCUUAGCAGGGGAUAACAUUUGGAAACAGAUGCUAAUACCGUAUAACAAUGACAACCGCAUGGUUGUUAUUUAAAAGAUGGUUCUGCUAUCACUAAGAGAUGGUCCCGCGGUGCAUUAGCUAGUUGGUAAGGUAAUGGCUUACCAAGGCGAUGAUGCAUAGCCGAGUUGAGAGACUGAUCGGCCACAAUGGGACUGAGACACGGCCCAUACUCCUACGGGAGGCAGCAGUAGGGAAUCUUCCACAAUGGGCGAAAGCCUGAUGGAGCAACGCCGCGUGUGUGAUGAAGGGUUUCGGCUCGUAAAACACUGUUGUAAGAGAAGAAUGACAUUGAGAGUAACUGUUCAAUGUGUGACGGUAUCUUACCAGAAAGGAACGGCUAAAUACGUGCCAGCAGCCGCGGUAAUACGUAUGUUCCAAGCGUUAUCCGGAUUUAUUGGGCGUAAAGCGAGCGCAGACGGUUAUUUAAGUCUGAAGUGAAAGCCCUCAGCUCAACUGAGGAAUUGCUUUGGAAACUGGAUGACUUGAGUGCAGUAGAGGAAAGUGGAACUCCAUGUGUAGCGGUGAAAUGCGUAGAUAUAUGGAAGAACACCAGUGGCGAAGGCGGCUUUCUGGACUGUAACUGACGUUGAGGCUCGAAAGUGUGGGUAGCAAACAGGAUUAGAUACCCUGGUAGUCCACACCGUAAACGAUGAGUGCUAGGUGUUUGAGGGUUUCCGCCCUUAAGUGCCGCAGCUAACGCAUUAAGCACUCCGCCUGGGGGAGUACGACCGCAAGGUUGAAACUCAAAGGAAUUGACGGGGACCCGCACAAGCGGUGGAGCAUGUGGGUUUAAUUCGAAGCAACGCCGAAGAACCUUACCAGGUCUUGACAUCCCUUGACAAUCCCGAGAAAGGAGGGGUUCCCUUCGGGGGAAAAGGUGACAAGUGGGUGGAAGGGGUUGUCCUCCACCCCCCGUCCCGAAAGAAUAUGGGGUUAAAUUCCCCCCAAGAAGGGGAACCCCUUAUAAUUAGUUUGGCCG